GUGGCUUAAUUUGACUCAACGCGGGAAAUCUUACCGGGUCCGGACACACUGAGGAUUGACAGAUAUAUACCCCGUGAUUUUAUCGCGGGGUUGAAAGAUGCUAGUUCUUUCAUGAUUAUGUGAUAGGUGGUGCAUGGCCGUUCUUAGUUCGUGGAGUGAUCUGUCUGCUUAAUUGCGUAUCAAUAAUAGAGACCUAGUAUACGCGUAGACUCAUGCGGUAGUGACCCCCCUUCACAGGGCGCGUGUCGCACGUAUGUUAUACGCACAGGUCUCCGAUAGCAACGAACGUGACCGUACUCUAUUGUUGCAGCGACAAUACCUUUCAACGGGUAUUACCGCUGCUUAGCAAGAUUCGUCUUGCAUUAAACUAUAGAGACCGCUGUUUCUUCUUUAAACCAGAGGAAGGAUACGGCAAUAACA
rnacentral:rRNA from 1 species